ACGCCGGCUGCGGGAUCUCCCCAGGACGGGAGGCUGGACAGCUGGGAAAGACGAUCGCUGUCUGAUAUCUCGGGGUUUCUAACGAUGUGGCUGGUGGCAGUGGGACUGACCUGCUCGGCUGUAGGUUGCGCUGCUCAGGAGGGAGUAAUCAAGGAAGGUGAAACCACUGGGCAGAUACUGGAGAAGAGUCCUGUGCUCAUCCUGCUCAUGAUCUGGGGCCAGAACACAAAUACACUGAGUGUAUUGAUUGUGUGAAAUGCCCAUCAGCUAGUGAAAUUGGGAUGGCCAAGAAAAUCUUUCACUGACCAGGGGGUGUCUUUAAAUACCCAGCACUUGGUGUAGUCCACUGCCAUAAGGAAAAGAAACUAUCAUGGACCCAGAAAAGGACAGAUGCUAUAGAUCAUGAACUGAGUGUGGCAACUGGCUUAGCAUCAGCAUCCACGUGGAGGCUGAACACAGCUGUCUGUAGACUGGCUGCAGUACAAGGGAAGAGAGAAUUGGGGCACCUGCAAUGCAACUGUGCUGUCUCUGAACCAAGGCAAGGGAACGCAGUGAACCAACGUGAAGCAUCCAGGCCCCAUGCAAUACAUUGGUGGCAGAAUCCAAGGUCUGGCUUGUGGCAUUUGAAAUGGCAGGCAUGUUCCCAGGUGACCUGUGGGGUGUAUGUGUGUAGGUGCCAGUUUUGCUCAUGAUGCAAGAGGUGGCAUUUCUGGGAGAACUGGAAUAUG
rnacentral:lncRNA from 1 species